GCGGACAAACCGUCAGGUGCAUUAGGCGAUAAACAUGGAUGUGUAAUAAUAGCUUUUUAAUGACAAGUAUUUAUGGCAGAUUAAAGUAGGACUACGUACUUUUUUAUUAACUGAUAGUGGUUCAAGCUUAAAGUUCACCUUGUGGGAUCGAGAUUUAUUCCUGCGGAAACUCCCUUCAAGUCCACGUAUUCCCGGGAUUACCGAGGUUUAGGAGGUUAAUUGGAGGGAGCAAGAAUGGUGGAGUACCACAGACAUGUGAAUCUUGGAAAACUGCCAUCGUCCCAUUCUCGUGGUGCCGAUGCCUGCACCGGGACGGAGAUGAGUCCGGAAUAGUGAAUUCCCUUCCCUCUGCCCCAUGCAGUUGCUGUGAUAAAUGACAGUCUUAGUCGGUGAGUGAUGAAGCACAUUCCCUCUGGUGGCAGAGUCAAGGCAGGAGGAGGCACUGUGGUUAAUCAUAACUGUCCGACAAGUUGGUGCUCAUCGCUCCCGCGAGGCGGAGUGGAUACAUAUCAAAGAGCGCGGAAGAAGAAAAGC